rnacentral:rRNA from 1 species
GACGUAGGGCGCGAGCGUUGUCCGGAUUUAUUGGGCGUAAAGAGCUCGUAGGCGGCUUGUCGCGUCGACUGUGAAAACCCGCAGCUCAACUGUGGGCUUGCAGCCGAUACGGGCAGGCUAGAGUUCGGUAGGGGAGACUGGAAUUCCUGGUGUAGCGGUGAAAUGCGCAGAUAUCAGGAGGAACACCGAUGGCGAAGGCAGGUCUCUGGGCCACUACUGACGCUGAGAAGCGAAAGCAUGGGGAGCGAACAGG